UUGGAGGGCAAGUCUGGUGCCAGCAGCCGCGGUAAUUCCAGCUCCAAUAGCGUAUAUUAAAGUUGCUGCAGUUAAAAAGCUCGUAGUUGAAUUUCGGGACCAUCAUGUCGGUCGUGCCUCGGUACGUACUGGCAUCGUCGGUCUCUCCCUUCUGACGAACCAUGAUGUCAUUUAUUUGGUGUUGUGGGGAAUCAGGACUGUUACUUUGAAAAAAUUAGAGUGUUUAAAGCAGGCUCACGCUUGAAUACAUUAGCAUGGAAUAAUGAAAUAGGACGUUUGAUUCUAUUUUGUUGGUUUCUAGGAUCGACGUAAUGAUUAAUAGGGAUAGUUGGGGGCAUUAGUAUUCAAUUGUCAGAGGUGAAAUUCUUGGAUUUAUUGAAGACUAACUACUGCGAAAGCAUUUGCCAAGGAUGUUUUCAUUAAUCAAGAACGAAAGUUAGGGGAUCGAAGACGAUCAGAUACCGUCGUAGUCUUAACCAUAAACUAUGCCGACUAGGGAUCGGAUGAUGUUAAUUUUUUAAUGACUCAUUCGGCGCCUUACGGGAAAC
rnacentral:rRNA from 1 species